CCUACGGGAGGCAGCAGUGGGGAAUAUUGGACAAUGGGCGCAAGCCUGAUCCAGCAAUACCGCGUGAGUGAUGAAGGUCUUCGGAUCGUAAAGCUCUUUUAGUGGAGAAGAUAAUGACGGUAUCCACAGAAAAAGCACCGGCAAACUUCGUGCCAGCAGCCGCGGUAAUACGAAGGGUGCUAGCGUUGUUCGGGAUCAUUGGGCGUAAAGCGUGCGUAGGCGGCUUAGUAAGUCGUUUGUGAAAUCCCAAGGCUUAACCUUGGAAUUGCAAUCGAAACUGCUUUGCUAGAGUAUGGUGGGGGAUAGUGGAAUUCCUAGUGUAGGGGUGAAAUCCGUAGAGAUUAGGAGGAACAUCAGUGGCGAAAGCGACUAUCUACGCCAAUACUGACGCUGAGGUACGAAAGCGUGGGGAGCAAACAGGAUUAGAUACCCUGGUAGUCCACGCAGUAAACGAUGAGUGCUAGUUAUCGGGACAUUAGGUUUCGGUGGCGUAGCUAACGCGUUAAGCACUCCGCCUGGGGACUACGGUCGCAAGACUAAAACUCAAAGGAAUUGACGG
rnacentral:rRNA from 1 species